rnacentral:rRNA from 1 species
UACGGGGGGAGCAAGCGUUGUUCGGAUUUACUGGGCGUAAAGGGCGCGUAGGCGGUCAGCACAAGUCAGUUGUGAAAUCUCCGAGCUUAAACUCGGAACGGUCAACUGAUACUGUGCGACUAGAGUGCGGAAGGGGCAACUGGAAUUCUCGGUGUAGCGGUGAAAUGCGUAGAUAUCGAGAGGAACACCUGCGGCGAAGGCGGGUUGCUGGGCCGACACUGACGCUGAUGCGCGAAAGCCAGGGGAGCGAACGGG